rnacentral:pre_miRNA from 1 species
GGUGAAGUCCUAUCUUUUAAUCGUUAGAUCAUGCUAACCAAUUUCAUCCAACGGUUAAGAGAUAGAGCAUCACCU